ACAGCCUGAGCGUCAUAAACCGCAUGUUGAUGGUAACAGGAGGCAGACAGGUUCCUGGGCGGGAAGGGGCGGGUCCCCAGUGAAACCCCACCUUCAAGCGAGGGAUGGCCUGAAGCCUGCAGGCCGAACUGUCAGUUCCUUGUGGAGUCCAGGACCCAGAGUGAGAACUUCACUGAUGCCUUUCGGCCAAUCGGAUGGUGCUUUUUCCAGGCCCACCCAUGACCGCCCAUGGACCAAUCAGCAUGCACUUCCUCUAUUCUGAGUCCAUAAAAAUCCCUGGAUUCGUACACACACUCUUCGGGAUGACCUGCCUAUGCCAUGAAGCUGAGGAUUGGUAGCCCUUUUAGAGGAACACGUGCUUCCAGACCAGGUUGGAGUGCAGCAGCAUGGUCCCGGCUCACUGCAGUCUUAACCUUCCCUGGCUCAAGUGAUUCUCCUGCUUCAGGUUCCCGAGUAGCUAGGACUACAGGGGAGAUAUGAGUUCCAGAAGAAUCUUCUGAAGAUUCCAUAGGUCUGGUUCUGUCCGUGGUUUACACAUAAGAGUUAAUCAAAGGUGUAUGAAAUUUCUACCCUAUCAAGCUCAGCUAACUAAGAAAGAUUCCAGGCAUGUGCCUCGG
rnacentral:lncRNA from 10 species